UAACUGACAGAAAAGGAAACGUGGAACGUGGAACGUGCGAGCAUCUCUCAUUACCUCGUACCUAAGGCCAAGACCGAGAGGAAAAUUUCUAUUCAUUUUCUCUCUGUUUCGUUUCGCUGUUUAGCGAGUAAUGGCAUGGCGAAACAACAAAACUGCUACAAAUUGAUUUGUCUUAUAAAUCAAAUGCCGAAACGCAAUCAUUUUCCCAAUGAGAGUGGGGAAAAGUUUUCCUUUCUGCAGAUGCUUUUAGUUUUUCAGCACGUUUACUGUUGGAUGCUGAUGCCUGAUUCGAUGUGUUCGAUGUGCUCUCCAUGUUCCCAUUCGGGCCGACAAUAAUUAGCCAUGAUUUUCAAUGUAAUAAAGCAAGAGUGAGCAGAUUAUUGAACUCGGCCACCAAAUAUCGGCAGAGCCGCUACAAUUAUUGGAUGUGCCACCUAUUUUCCACACACUCCACUCUCCCGUGUGAGUGGCAUCUUCAGACUCCGCUGGUGCUUGGCACCACUCAAAACGAUCUUUUAGCACCUCAUACACGAGCCACUUCCAGUGCAGUCUCGUCUAGCAUAAAGGAAAGUGCUUUUACCGACAGUUUAACUGCUGCAAGUGCCGCUACUACUGCCCCGUACUGCCCUCCGGCACAGCACCGCGCACCUGACGCCGAGCCAGAGGCAGAGGCAGAGGCAGAGGCAGAGGCUGCUAAACACCGUCUCUGGCCAAAGUGAAAUUGUGACAGCUGCAGAGCAGACAACCAACAAGCGGCGCAGACGCAUGUGGAUGUGGAUGCCACGGCUCCAGAGCCAAAGCCAAAGCCAAAGCCAGACGAAGGCACAGACACUAGAGAGCAAAGCCAGUCAACAACAAUUAAAGUCUGGCUGAGUUGUGGCCAAACCUGUUGUUUUGCGGCAGACGCAGACGCAGACUCCUUCAUAAAAAUUGCAGCAGCAGGCAACAGCAGCGGCCGGCAAAAGAUGCAACUGGCAAAAAGUGCGUGAAAAAAGGCGAAGAAACAUAUUUUACAUAAUACAUAAAACUUUCUAUUUAACGAUGCGAUGCGAUGCCACACCAACUGACCAGAGACGAGAGACCAGACCCCAAAGACGAGAGACAGGAGACAGUUUCAUGUGGCGCGACAGCGUUCAUGGAUGCAAUGCUGUCUCUGGCUCUUACUCUGUCUCUGUCUCUGUCUCUGAUGGAUGCCUUUAAUUUGCCCAAAAAUAAAUAAAAAUCAUCUCAGCUUUUCAUGAAUCUGUGCCAAAACAAAAACAACAAAAAAACGUUAAAAUACUGUAAAUCGCGGCAUGUAAAUGGAAAAUGGAAAUGAAUAAACGACCCCCUCCUGGUAUAAACUUGGCACACUUUUGCGAUUUUUGCUGCAGCAGCUGGCGUUGCAAGUUAAAUAAAGUUAAUUGCGUUUCAUACAGUUCCAUUUAAGCAAAGUUUGUUUAAAGAUGCAUAAAUAAAGGAACACUGACUGAGGGAAC